CCAAAAGCUGGAGUCUUUGGAUUUAUCAAAUAGUACGUUACUAUAUUCAUUGACUGUUCUGUUUUCAUACCUAUCCUAUUCCAUUGAUCCAUCACUCUAUUUCUUAGCCAGUACCAAGUAGUUUUGAUGAUUGAUGCUUUAUUAUACAAUUUAAGAUCUAGUACAGAAAACCCAGUCCAGGGAUUCCUCAGAGACUGAAUGAUCUGCUUCCCACUGAUAAAGAAGGCCCUCUUUGGGCUUUUCUUCUUGAUACUAACUGUUUCCUCAGGUCUUUCCAGAAAGGAAAGUCAAAUAGACCUGCCUGAAUGUAUCAAGUAUUUAAGCCAACCAUCAUACCACUGCACCCAAGAGUACAAUCCUAUCUGUGCCCAGAAUGGUAUAACAUAUAAAAAUGAAUGCAUAUUUUGCAGUGCAAUGAGGUAAGUAUAUAAAGCAAUAUUCUGAUUCUUCCUGAAUAUAGCAAAAGCAUUCCCAGGAACCAAUGACUAGGUAUGUUGUUACUUAAUUUCCAUUCAGUUUAAUCCUCAUAAAUUCCAUUUCAUUUUUCUCAAUAACUUGUAAAAACAAUUUUUAACAUUAAUUUUCUAUAUUUUUUGAGUUCCAAAUUUCCUCCUUCUGUCCCUCUUUAACACCUGCUUGAGAAAGCAAGCACUUGCUAUAAAUUGUACAUCAUGUGCAGUUAUGCAAAAGAUAUUUCCAUAUUAGCCAAG
rnacentral:lncRNA from 1 species